rfam:Loxodonta africana unplaced genomic scaffold scaffold_5, whole genome shotgun sequence.
GAAUAGGAUUUUUUAAAAUCCAUUUAUAUUUUAUAGAUGCUUAUUU